GCGUUCUUCAUCUGGAACGAAAAGUUGACGAAGAAGACAGCAACCAGGCUGAUUUUGUCAAGGGCCUUGAAUCGUGUCCAGACGACUCCAGAUCUAUUCGUUGCUGGUUCCGCUGCACCCAAGGUCCGUGGGAGGAGCCAAGAUCGUGCUCCAAUAGUUUCAUAUGUCGAAUAUCAACUAGUCCGAUAUUGUCUUGCGCAGAUUGGUUGACAUGGUCAAAUUGAGAUGGUGGU
rnacentral:lncRNA from 1 species